UCCCGACCUGAAAACCUUCCGACUUGAGGUCUUUCCGUCUUGAGGACCUCCCGACCUGAAAACCUUCCGACUUGAGGUCUUUCCGUCUUGAGGACCUCCCGACCUGAAAACCUUCCGACUUGAGGUCUUUCCGUCUUGAGGACCUCCCGACCUGAAAACCUUCCGACUUGAGGUCUUUCCGUCUUGAGGACCUCCCGACCUGAAAACCUUCCGACUUGAGGUCUUUCCGUCUUGAGGACCUCCCGAC